GUCGGCCUGUGAUACAGACCUAUUUAUGUUCGAGUUUAGAUUUAGAUGUUGAGUUAUGCAGUUCCUUCAAAGUCGUUAUCUUUCGAUUCCGCUUCAAAGACGAACCUUCUAAGUAUCUCCCAUAAGUAAUGUUUCUGAAAACGGCCACCAUUGCCUUAUGGCAGAUUUUGUAAAUAUAUUUAAAGGUAAAAGUAAUGUCUAAGAAGACUGGUCAAGUUAAGUGGUUCAACGAGAGCAAAGGUUUUGGUUUCAUUGAGCAACACGACGGCGGUAAAGACGUAUUCGUACACUUCUCCGCAAUCAUGACCGACGGUUUCAAGACUCUGGCUGAAGGCCAGCGUGUCGAGUAUACCAUCCAGGACAGCCCGCGCGGGCCGGCUGCCGCCAACGUUGUUGCUCUGUAAUCACAGUCAAUAGCGUAAACGUUCUUAAUACAACCGGGACACGGGCACUAUU
rnacentral:sRNA from 1 species